GGUCACGCUAUGAGUACGAGUGCAAAGAGGGGAAUCAAUGUUGUCCUCAAUGCAAAACUAGAUACAAGAGGCACAAAGGAAGCCCUCAAGUUCGGGGAGAUGAGGAGGAUGGAGUUGAUUUGGACAAUGAAGUAAACUAUACAGUAUACACAAGGCAAUGUCCAAGGUCCUGUGUUGCAGCUGUGGGGACAAGGGGAGAUGUUGACAUCUCUUCGUAUUCUCGACAUGAACCCCAUCACUAAAUUCCACGUCUAACAACUGGACAACAGAAUUAAUUAUACUGUUGAAGGUUGUUCUUCCACUUUAGCCCUGUAGUGUGAAGCUUUAAUGGAACCAACUGGUUCACUGCCUCACUGGUGGAGUUGUAGUCCAAUGUUCUUGGUUGCUUGUAGAUGAUGAAGUCCAUAUACAAGAAAAGUUGGGUGCUCCCAUCUAUUACCAGAUACAUGU